GUCUGCGACCAUACCACCCUGAACACGCCCGAUCCUGUCUGAUCUCGGAAGCUGGGAGAGCCUCAGCCAGCACUCGCUGUGGGAGUCUUUGCUGCCAUGGCCU
rnacentral:rRNA from 1 species